rnacentral:rRNA from 1 species
AGAGUUUGAUCCUGGCUCAGGACGAACGCUGGCGGCGUGCCUAACACAUGCAAGUCGAGCGAGGAAUGAUUGGUAGCUUGCUACCGGUUAUUUCUAGCGGCGGACGGGUGAGUAACGCGUGAGCAACCUGCCUUUAUCAGGGGGAUAACGCAUCGAAAGAUGCGCUAAUACCGCGUAAGACCACAGCCUCACAUGGGGCAGGGGUCAAAGGAGCAAUCCGGAUAAAGAUGGGCUCGCGUCCGAUUAGCUAGUUGGUGAGAUAACAGCCCACCAAGGCAACGAUCGGUAGCCGACCUGAGAGGGUGAUCGGCCACAUUGGAACUGAGAGACGGUCCAGACUCCUACGGGAGGCAGCAGUGGGGAAUAUUGGGCAAUGGGCGAAAGCCUGACCCAGCAACGCCGCGUGAGGGAAGAAGGGUUUCGGCUCGUAAACCUCUGUCCUAUGGGACGAAGGAAGUGACGGUACCAUAGGAGGAAGCCCCGGCUAACUACGUGCCAGCAGCCGCGGUAAUACGUAGGGGGCGAGCGUUGUCCGGAAUGAUUGGGCGUAAAGGGCGCGUAGGCGGCCUGCUAAGUCUGGAGUGAAAGUCCUGCUUUCAAGGUGGGAAGUGCUUUGGAUACUGGUGGGCUGGAGUGCAGGAGAGGAAAGCGGAAUUACCGGUGUAGCGGUGAAAUGCGUAGAGAUCGGGUAGGGAACACCAGUGGCGAAGGCGGCUUUCUGGACUGAAACUGACGCUGAGGCGCGAAAGCGUGGGGAGCAAACAGGAUUAGAUACCCUGGUAGUCCACGCGGUAAACGAUGAAUGCUAGGUGUAGGAGGUAUCGACCCCUUCUGUGCCGCAGUAAACACAAUAAGCAUUCCGCCUGGGGAGUA